UAUGUAGUUUCUUUUUAUUUGUACGUCGUAGUCUGAUAUGAUAUUUGUUUUCAUCAUGAAAUAUUAUUUCAGACAUACAGUAUAUGCCAUCAAUUAACGGGGAGGAUUCCAUUGCCACGGUUACUGGAGGCUUGCCCUUUUUCUGCGGUGCCUUGCUGUUUUGCUGUUGGCUUGACGUAGAUACUGUGUUAUAGGAUUGGCCAUCUAAUCAUCAUUUCAUCACUGGAGCCGGGUGUCUAGGAGCAAGGGGAGUUGACUCGUAGUUUUGUGGUGCAUGUGCACUGGUGAAUGAAGGUGAUGAAGGUGAAGCAUGGCUGUGGGCGUCCUGGCCCAAGAGCAUGGCAGGAGUUAUCGUCCAGUAGCUUAUCUGUCUGAAACUCUUGACGCUGUGGUACAGGGCAUGCCUGCCUGUUUACAGGCCCUAGCUGCCUCUGCCUUGCUUGUCUCAGAUGCUGAAAAGAUUGUUCUCUCUUACCCACUCACUUUACAUCCAUAUCAGGUUAUUGCUAUAUUAAAUAAUCUCCAAACACAGCACAUGACGGCGCAGCCCUGUUCGGGAUACGAAGUGAUUCUAUGUGCCACACAAAACCUUACCAUGAAACCAGUAAUCGCCCAUAUGAGUCCCACAGUUCUUCUACAUUGCUUAAUCCGUUCCUGUAGUUCAGAUCAAUUCCCUGACGCCUGGCUCAAACAUGAUUGUCUUAUUCACAUCCCGGAGACCUCAUUUAUUCGCUUAAACCUUUAUCAACAUCCCUUUGAGAGUGGGAUUCAUGUGUUGUGUUCAUUUUGAUGGCUCA
ensembl:lncRNA